CUAUAUACAUGCGCGCGCACUAAUUUUUUAUUAAAUUCUUUUCUUUUUAUUUAUAACUCAUACAUAAAUCAUGAAACACUGCUGAUAGAAGAGAAUUUGCUGGUGGGUCUACGAGUUUUUCUUCUAUGGGCAAGUUGCUGCAGACCAGGAAAUUGCUGUGGUUGGUUUUAUUAAAAAAAGGAAAAUUAAGCAGUUGACAAGACAGAAGAAAUCUUUAAAACUAAAAGUGUUGACGGAUGUUACUCAUGGAGAAUUUGAGCCUCUAGUGCAGGAUGGUAGUGGAGAAGGACAGGGCAGUAGUCAUUUGGAAUCUGAUCAAGAUGGCGUUGGUGGCUCACCUAAAGCCACUAGAGAGCUAUGAGCGGUUUAGUCUAGAAUUGUCAGGGGAUAGGGAGGCCUCUCACAAUUUGUCAAUUAAAGAGUUUAUUCCAAACUCACUGUCCCCAAUUUUGGUUUUUGGUAGGGACUAAGAAGGCUGGAGACUUUCUGGAUAGGCAAAGAGUUCAACUAGGCUUUUAAGGCUAUUUUUAUGUUGACCCUCAAUGGGGCUUUAGGUGGUCUAGUGUUAUGGUGGAAUCAAGAAAUCCAGGAAUGCUGAUGGGAUUUUGAUUGAUGGAGCUGCUAUUCUAGAGCCUAGCAUAUCUCAAGCUGCAGCGGAAGCGAGAGCUGCCCUUUUGUGCUUUCAUCUAGCCUAAAAGUUAGGAAUCAGAUCUUUUGAUGUUUGUUUUAAAAAUAAAAUUGUUGUUAAUGCUUUUAGUUCAAAUUGUCAAGUCCCCAAGGAGAUGUUUAAUGCUAUUAGCCAAGCGAAGGAGAGACUUCAUCCUUCCCUUCUAUUUAAUUUUGUUGUUGUGACUAAGACCAGGAAUGGUCCUGCUCAUUGGGUGGCUGAUAAAAUCUUAAGGGGAAGUCUUCCCUAUGCUUGGCUCUCUUGUCCUCUCACCAACUUUCAUUGUAUUGUAUCUAAUGACUGUUUCUUUAGUUAAUGAACUUAUCCUUUGUCCAAAAUAAA